UACGAAGGGGGCUAGCGUUGCUCGGAAUCACUGGGCGUAAAGGGUGCGUAGGCGGGUCUUUAAGUCGAGGGGUGAAAUCCUGGAGCUCAACUCCAGAACUGCCUUUGAUACUGAGGAUCUUGAGUUCGGGAGAGGUGAGUGGAACUGCGAGUGUAGAGGUGAAAUUCGUAGAUAUUCGCAAGAACACCAGUGGCGAAGGCGGCUCACUGGCCCGGUACUGACGCUGAGGUGCGAAAGCGUGGGGAGCAAACAGG
rnacentral:rRNA from 1 species